GGCUGGUCUGAGUACAGUGGUGUAUACAGCUAAUUGAUAACAACCAGUUACACAGAUUUCUUUGUUCCUUUUCCACUCCCACUGCUUCACUUGACUAGCCUUAA
ensembl:misc_RNA Y_RNA Y RNA